rnacentral:rRNA from 1 species
CCUACGGGAGGCAGCAGUGGGGAAUAUUGCACAAUGGGGGAAACCCUGAUGCAGCGACGCCGCGUGAGUGAAGAAGUAUUUCGGUAUGUAAAGCUCUAUCAGCAGGGAAGAAAAUGACGGUACCUGUUUAAGAAGCCCCGGCUACCUACGUGCCAGCCGCCGCGGUAAGACGCAGGGGGCAAGCGUUAUCCGGAUGUAGUGGGUGUAAAGGGGGCGUAGGCUGCAUGGCAGGCGUGCUGUGAAAUGUCCGGGCUCAACCCGGGCCGUGCAGCGCGAACCGGCGUGCUUGAGUCAGCGGAAGGCAGGCGGAAUUCGUGGUGUAGCGGUGAAAUGCUUAGAUAGGACGAAGAACCCCGAUUGCGAAGGCAGCUUGCUGCAGCGGAACUGACGCUGAUGCUCGAAAGCGCGGGUAUCGAACAGGAUUAGAUACCCCGGUAGUC